rnacentral:rRNA from 1 species
ACGGUCCUAAGGUAGCGAAAUUCCUUGUCGGGUAAGUUCCGACCCGCACGAAAGGUGUAACGAUUUGGGCACUGUCUCAACGAGGGACCCGGUGAAAUUGAAAUACCUGUGAAGAUGCAGGUUACCCGCGACUGGACAGAAAGACCCCAUGGAGCUUUACUGUAACCUGACAUUGGGUUUUGAUACAUUACGUACAGGAUAGGUGGGAGGCUUGGAAAGCUGGACGCUAGUCUGGCUGGAGCCGACGUUGGGAUACCACCCUUGAUGUAUUGAAAUUCUAACCGCGAGAGUAACGAAAUCCGGGACAGUGUCAGGCGGGCAGUUUGACUGGGGCGGUCGCCUCCGAAAGAGUAACGGAGGCGCCCAAAGGUUCCCUCAGCGCGGCCGGAAAUCGCGCGAAGAGUGUAAAGGCAGAAGGGAGCUUGACUGCGAGUCAAACACGACGAGCAGGUACGAAAGUAGGGCUUAGUGAUCCGGUGGUACCGAGUGGAAGGGCCAUCGCUCAACGGAUAAAAGCUACCCUGGGGAUAACAGGCUAAUCUCUCCCAAGAGUCCAUAUCGACGGGGAGGUUUGGCACCUCGAUGUCGGCUCAUCACAUCCUGGGGCUGAAGUCGGUCCCAAGGGUUGGGCUGUUCGCCCAUUAAAGUGGUACGUGAGCUGGGUUCAGAACGUCGUGAGACAGUUCGGUCCCUAUCCAUCGCGGGCGCAAGAGAUUUGAAGGGGGCUGCUCCUAGUACGAGAGGACCGGAGUGGACGAACCGCUGGUGUACCAAUUAUCCUGCCAAGGGUACAGUUGGGUAGCUACGUUCGGGACGGAUAAACGCUGAAAGCAUCUAAGCGUGAAACCAGCCUUGAGAUGAGGUUUCUCAUAGCAUAAGCUAGUAAGAUCCCAUGUAGACGACAUGGUUGAUAGGCCAGGUGUGGAAGAGCCGUGAGGUUUGGAGCUGACUGGUACUAAUAGAUCGAGGGCUUUACUUA